AACGAACGCUGGCGGCAUGCCUAACACAUGCAAGUCGAACGAGACCUUCGGGUCUAGUGGCGCACGGGUGCGUAACGCGUGGGAACCUGCCCUUAGGUUCGGAAUAACUCCCCGAAAGGGGUGCUAAUACCGGAUAAUGUCUUCGGACCAAAGAUUUAUCGCCUUUGGAUGGGCCCGCGUUGGAUUAGCUAGUUGGUAGGGUAAAAGCCUACCAAGGCGACGAUCCAUAGCUGGUCUGAGAGGAUGAUCAGCCACACUGGGACUGAGACACGGCCCAGACUCCGACGGGAGGCAGCAGUGGGGAAUAUUGGACAAUGGGCGAAAGCCUGAUCCAGCAAUGCCGCGUGAGUGAUGAAGGCCUGAGGGUUGUAAAGCUCUUUUACCCGGGAUGAUAAUGACAGUACCGGGAGAAUAAGCUCCGGCUAACUCCG
rnacentral:rRNA from 1 species